rnacentral:rRNA from 1 species
CCUACGGGGGGCUGCAGUAGGGAAUAUUGCUCAAUGGGGGAAACCCUGAAGCAGCAACGCCGCGUGGAGGAUGAAGGUUUUCGGAUUGUAAACCCCUUUUGUUAGAGAAGAUAAUGACGGUAUCUAACGAAUAAGCACCGGCUAACUCCGUGACAGCAGCCGCGGUAAUACGGAGGGUGCAAGCGUUAAUCGGAAUCACUGGGCGUAAAGGGCGCGUAGGCGGGAUAGCAAGUCAGAUGUGAAAUCCUAUGGCUUAACCAUAGAACUGCAUUUGAAACUGUUAUUCUAGAGUAUGGGAGAGGUAGGUGGAAUUCUUGGUGUAGGGGUAAAAUCCGUAGAGAUCAAGAGGAAUACUCAUUGCGAAGGCGACCUGCUAGAACAUAACUGACGCUGAUGCGCGAAAGCGUGGGGAGCAAACAGGAUUAGAUACCCGUGUAGUC